rnacentral:rRNA from 1 species
GACGAGCGGUGGCGGGGUGCGUAAUACAGGCAAGUCGAGCGAGCGGAGCUAACAGAUUUAGCCUCGGUAAUGACGUUAGGAAAGCGAGCGGCGGAUGGGUGAGUAACACGUGGGGAACCUGCCCCAUAGUCUGGGAUACCACUUGGAAACAGGUGCUAAUACCGGAUAAGAAAGCAGAUCGCAUGAUCAGCUCUUAAAAGGCGGCGUAAGCUGUCGCUAUGGGAUGGCCCCGCGGUGCAUUAGCUAGUUGGUAAGGUAAAGGCUUACCAAGGCGAUGAUGCAUAGCCGAGUUGAGAGACUGAUCGGCCACAUUGGGACUGAGACACGGCCCAAACUCCUACGGGAGGCAGCAGUAGGGAAUCUUCCACAAUGGACGCAAGUCUGAUGGAGCAACGCCGCGUGAGUGAAGAAGGUUUUCGGAUCGUAAAGCUCUGUUGUUGGUGAAGAAGGAUAGAGGUAGUAACUGGCCUUUAUUUGACGGUAAUCAACCAGAAAGUCACGGCUAACUACGUGCCAGCAGCCGCGGUAAUACGUAAGUGGCAAGCGUUGUCCGGAUUUAUUGGGCGUAAAGCGAGCGCAGGCGGAAGAAUAGGUCUGAUGUGAAAGCCCUCGGCUUAACCGAGGAACUGCAUCGGAAACUGUUUUUCUUGAGUGCAGAAGAGGAGAGUGGAACUCCAUGUGUAGCGGUGGAAUGCGUAGAUAUAUGGAAGAACACCAGUGGCGAAGGCGGCUCUCUGGUCUGCAACUGACGCUGAGGCUCGAAAGCAUGGGUAGCAAACAGGAUUAGAUACCCUGGUAAUCCAUGCCGUAAACGAUGAGUGCUAAGUGCUGGGAGGUUUCCGCCUCUCAGUGCUGCAGCUAACGCAUUAAGCACUCCGCCUGGGGAGUACGACCGCAAGGUUGAAACUCAAAGGAAUUGACGGGGGCCCGCACAAGCGGUGGAGCAUGUGGUUUAAUUCGAAGCAACGCGAAGAACCUUACCAGGUCUUGACAUCUAGUGCCAUUUGUAGAGAUACAAAGUUCCCUUCGGGGACGCUAAGACAGGUGGUGCAUGGCUGUCGUCAGCUCGUGUCGUGAGAUGUUGGGUUAAGUCCCGCAACGAGCGCAACCCUUGUUAUUAGUUGCCAGCAUUAAGUUGGGCACUCUAAUGAGACUGCCGGUGACAAACCGGAGGAAGGUGGGGAUGACGUCAAGUCAUCAUGCCCCUUAUGACCUGGGCUACACACGUGCUACAAUGGGCAGUACAACGAGAAGCGAGCCUGCGAAGGCAAGCGAAUCUCUGAAAGCUGUUCUCAGUUCGGACUGCAGUCUGCAACUCGACUGCACGAAGCUGGAAUCGCUAGUAAUCGCGGAUCAGCACGCCGCGGUGAAUACGUUCCCGGGCCU